rnacentral:lncRNA from 1 species
AUGGGGACGGGGACAAGGACAGAAAGUGGGGACAGGGACAGGGACAGGGACAGGGACAGGGACAGGGAUGGGGACGGGGACAGGGACAGGGACAGGGAUGGGGACGGGGACAGGGACAGGAGAGGGGACAGGGACAGAAGGUGGGGACAGGAGAGGGGACAAGAGAGGGGACAGGGACAGAGAGGUCCCCGCGGGGUCCCGGCCGGCGCGGCGCGGGUGGCGCUGGGGACACGGAGCGGCGGGACAGGGACAGAUCCCGCUCCGGUGUCCCCCGGCUCCAGGACCGGAAUGUCCCCACUUCCUGCGACAUCCGGGAAUGCUCGGGAAUGCUCGGGGAUGCUCGGGAACGCUCCCACACCCCGCUCCAGCCGCCUCGGGACCCCAGAAUGUUUGGGGCAUCCCAGAAUGUUUGGGGCACUCUGGGGAAUCCCGGAAUGUUUGGGGCAUCCUCGGGAACCCCGGAAUGUUUGGGGAACCCCGGAAUGUUCGGGGCCCCCUCUGGCCCCCGCCCCGUGCCUUGGGAACCCGCGCGCAUCCCGGAUCAUUCCCGCCGGGGAUCCCGGAUCAUUCCCGCCGGGAAUCCCGGAUCAUUCCUGCCCGGGAAUCCUGGAUCAUUCCUGCCCGGGAAUCCUGGAUCAUUCCCGCCGGGAAUCCCGGAUCAUUCCCGCCCGGGGAUCCCGGAUCAUUCCCGCCGGGAAUCCCGGAUCAUUCCCGCCCGGGGAUCCCGGAUCAUUCCCGCCCGGGAAUCCCAGAUCAUUCCCGCCGGGGAUCCCGGAUCAUUCCCGCCCGGGAAUCCUGGAUCAUUCCCGCCGGGGAUCCCGGAUCAUUCCCGCCCGGGAAUCCUGGAUCAUUCCCGCCCGGGAAUCCUGGAUCAUUCCCGCCCGGGAAUCCCGGAUCAUUCCCGCCCGGGAAUCCUGGAUCAUUCCCGCACGGGAAUCCCGGAUCAUUCCCGCCCGGGGAUCCCGGAUCAUUCCUGCCCGGGGAUCCCGCAGGAUCCUGGAUCCACCCUCAGGAACGUUCCAGGAUCCUGAAUCCACCCUCAGGAAUGUUCCAGGAUCCCGAAUCCAGGCUUGGGAUCUUCCAGGAUCCUGGAUCCAGCCUCGUGAACAUUCCAGAAUCUCGGAUCCGAUCUUGGGAUCUCCCAGAAUCCCAGAGCCAGCCUUGGGAAUGUUCCAGAAUCCCAGAUCCAGCCUUGGGAAUCUCCAGGAUCCGAAAUCCACUCUCGGGAAUGUUCCAGAAUCCCGGAUCCGCCGCCCCUUGAGCACCACCACACCCUCACCCCAAAAUCCUGGAUUCCCUCCGGCUGCCCCGAGCCCUGGGAAUGUUCUGGAACGUCCCCGGGAAUGCUCGGGAAUGUUCUGGAACACCCGGACCAUUCUCCCCACCCGCUCCGGCCCUGGCUCCUGGCACACCCCCCAUUUGUAUUUUUGUCCCCCGUGUCCCCCCGUGUCCCUCCAUGUCCCC